rnacentral:rRNA from 1 species
AUUACUGAGUUUACGCUCUAUAACCCUUUGUGAACAUACCUUUAACUGUUGCUUCGGCGGGCAGGGUCUCCGUGACCCUCCCGGCCUCCCGCCCCCGGGCGGGUCGGCGCCCGCCGGAGGAUAACCAAACUCUGAUUUAACGACGUUUCUUCUGAGUGGUACAAGCAAAUAAUCAAAACUUUUAACAACGGAUCUCUUGGUUCUGGCAUCGAUGAAGAACGCAGCGAAAUGCGAUAAGUAAUGUGAAUUGCAGAAUUCAGUGAAUCAUCGAAUCUUUGAACGCACAUUGCGCCCGCCAGCAUUCUGGCGGGCAUGCCUGUUCGAGCGUCAUUUCAACCCUCAAGCUCUGCUUGGUGUUGGGGCCCUACAGCUGAUGUAGGCCCUCAAAGGUAGUGGCGGACCCUCCCGGAGCCUCCUUUGCGUAGUAACUUUACGUCUCGCACUGGGAUCCGGAGGGACUCUUGCCGUAAAACCCCCCAAUUUUCCAAAGGUUGACCUCGGAUCAGGUAGGAAUACCCGCUGAACUUAAGCAUAUCAAUAAGCGGAGGAAAAGAAACCAACAGGGAUUGCCCCA